rnacentral:rRNA from 1 species
UGCAGUCGAGCGGAUGAGAAGAGCUUGCUCUUCGAUUCAGCGGCGGACGGGUGAGUAAUGCCUAGGAAUCUGCCUGGUAGUGGGGGACAACGUUUCGAAAGGAACGCUAAUACCGCAUACGUCCUACGGGAGAAAGCAGGGGACCUUCGGGCCUUGCGCUAUCAGAUGAGCCUAGGUCGGAUUAGCUAGUUGGUGAGGUAAUGGCUCACCAAGGCGACGAUCCGUAACUGGUCUGAGAGGAUGAUCAGUCACACUGGAACUGAGACACGGUCCAGACUCCUACGGGAGGCAGCAGUGGGGAAUAUUGGACAAUGGGCGAAAGCCUGAUCCAGCCAUGCCGCGUGUGUGAAGAAGGUCUUCGGAUUGUAAAGCACUUUAAGUUGGGAGGAAGGGCAUUAACCUAAUACGUUAGUGUUUUGACGUUACCGACAGAAUAAGCACCGGCUAACUCUGUGCCAGCAGCCGCGGUAAUACAGAGGGUGCAAGCGUUAAUCGGAAUUACUGGGCGUAAAGCGCGCGUAGGUGGUUUGUUAAGUUGGAUGUGAAAGCCCCGGGCUCAACCUGGGAACUGCAUCCAAAACUGGCAAGCUAGAGUACGGUAGAGGGUGGUGGAAUUUCCUGUGUAGCGGUGAAAUGCGUAGAUAUAGGAAGGAACACCAGUGGCGAAGGCGACCACCUGGACUGAUACUGACACUGAGGU